CCGCUAGAAUGCCAUUUCUCAGACUAAAACUCUACCUCUUGAUCACAAUAUUAUAUACGUUCCUAAUUGCAGCAGUCUUUCUUUUGAUUUGUCUGUGUCUGCGUUGUUCGAAUCGAAUCUCGAAACGGCGAAGAACGCGCAUGACGAACAGUUCAGGCUUUGUAUCGCUAGCCUGUGGUGGUACUGGUGGUACAACUUGAACGAGCUAGAGAAGGCGACACGUAGAAUUGCCAUAGAAAAUGUGAUCGGUGAAGGCGAUUACGGAGUUUGUUGAAGACAUAAGUGGUCUCUCUUGGUCUCUCUCUCGGGUUUUGAAGUUUGAAGAAUAAAAAAUAAAAAAAGAGACAUACAAAACAUACACAUGCAGGUCUCUCUCUCAUCCUUGGAGACUCCCCAACGAAGCUACCCCUCCACAAACAGUUGAACAACAAGUUUUGGAUUCAAAACCAGGCUUGGAAGCAUUUGGGAAUGCCAAAACUGUGAAAAACAACAAUUCCAGUCGUUUUGGUAAAUUUGUACAAAAUCCACCAAAGAAUGCAGAGAGCAGAAUUUAAUUGAAGCAGUCGGUUUUAGACCCUAAUUCUUGAGGCCAAAGUGAAGAGCAUGGUGAGAGUAACAUUUUGAUCGGUGGAGAUCAAAAUCUGACAAAAUCGAAAAUUUGGAUUUUUGCUCAUUUCUUCUUCAAACUUGAGGAAAAAAUGUGGUGAUUCCACCCAACUAGGAGUGUGGAAAUAUGUAUGUUGGGAGUACAAUGCUCUCAUUUUGCGUGACUCUGUUUUGUAAGCCAAGGGUUGUAUUUGUGUGGAUUUGAAUAACUGUUUUGUGUAACCGGGCUUAAACCUUGGAAAUUUGUAAACUGUAUGGGGUAUUUAUUUGUUUAUUUACUUGUUGUUGGAUUAAUGUAUCGUUGCAUGAAGAACUAUUGUAUCAUGUAAUGUAAAUUUGGAGAUUUAUA